AGUUGAAGAUGCGGAAACAGUGCCGAGAGAAGAGCGGAAAGAAGCGGAGGACAACAAAGAAAAUGAACGUCCUGAAGUUGAAGAAACUAACGAUGGAGUUGAAGAGGAAGGAAAGAGAGUGAGGACAAGGAGGCCAGCGGGCCGUUCACGAAGGGAAUGGCGCCCUUACCCAAGAAUGUACGACCGCACUCA